GGUGCAAGCAAUGUACCUGAGUAACCAGAAGGGGUGAAGCCAGGAUCCACCCCUUCCCAGACCUCAUUUUAGGGUUGGCAGGGGAGGCUGAGGUAUCUCACUGGAGAUCUCUAUAUGCCUGAGGCCUUGCAAGGGAUGCUUGGCUGGUGUCGCAGAGCUGGGAAGAGAGCCAGCAGCCUGAUGAGCUCAGCCUCCCUGGAUUGCAGCUGCGCAGGAGAGAAAUGCUGUCCAGCAGGUGCAGAAGGUUGGCCCAGCUGCUGAACAACCAGAGGAACAGGAGUGCAUAGGAGGAGCUGGGAGAGGAGGUACAGGGCCUGAGGAUGACUUCUUGAAGGUCAAAGGAACUGCUGAGUGCUGAAGGUGAGGGUAUGACACGAAGUAGCACCCCCAAGAUUUGCCCCUUUCAAGUCAUGCCAUGGCAGAACAGGCUUUCCCACACUUUUAAUAGUCUCUACAACAGUUCCCCACGGAGCUACAUUUAUUAGAGCAGCUAAUGCACACAGCAGCCAGCAUGGAGUGCACAGGUUUUAUAAAGACGUAUGCUGCAUACACAUGGUGCUCAACUACUUUUUCAUAUGGUCAUUCUUUCCCCUUCUACACAUCUCUCCAUUUCAGGAGUAGGGACAAACUGAAAAAGAGGGAAACUGGUCCUUGAACUGUUUUAUUUACCAUUUUCAGCUGCAAAGGGUUGAACUGAUCUUGUGACAAGAAAUCCUCUCCCACUUGCUGUUAACACAGUUUCCAGAACACAAACUUCAGUAUGUUCACUAUUUCCCUUGUUUGGACAUAGUACAUCUGGGUGACCUUCCCUUCCACACAGACACAAGGGAAAGAACACAACACAGGUGCCACAGACUUAAGGAUGCACUGGGGGAUACCAAAUUCCUUCCACUGCUAACAUCUGAACCAAGCCACUUAAACCUAACUCCUGAGUCUAACCAAGGGUUGGCAUUAGUACUACUUCUCUCUUUUUUUCCAAAGGGAGAACACUUUCCAUCUUCUUAAGGAAGGGGCAGGAAAGGACAGUGGUAAGAACUCCCAAAAAGCAUAUUUACAGUAGUUUAGCAAGGAAGGUCAUUUAGAACAACACUCCCACCUGCUGGGCCAUCUAUUUGUUGCAGCAGGGAAUUUAGCAGUAUGAAAAAAAAAACCAAACACUCCUUCAGUCCAGCACCACAACCUCUGGUUCAGAUGAUUGGAUCUUCAUGCUGAGAGCUAACUUCUGGGUCACAAGCAUUCCUGCCUAGAGGAGCUGGUAAUAUCCAGCAGCAGUGCCCGCCUAGGGCAGCUGUUAUCUCAGAAGGAAGGUUUGGGUGGAAGCAUCUAAGAAACAGCUUUUUCCAUAUAAGACGUCUUUCUUGGAGAGGAAUGAGUGAGCAAACAGGAGUCAUCUCAGUUCCAGCUCACACUCUGAAAGACUAAGCAUGUAGGAAAGA